rnacentral:rRNA from 1 species
UACGUAGGGUGCGAGCGUUAAUCGGAAUUACUGGGCGUAAAGCGUGCGCAGGCGGUUUUGUAAGCCAGAUGUGAAAUCCCCGGGCUUAACCUGGGAAUGGCAUUUGGGACUGCAAGGCUUGAGUGCGGCAGAGGAGACUGGAAUUCCUGGUGUAGCAGUGAAAUGCGUAGAGAUGCGGAGGAACACCGAUGGCGAAGGCAGCCCCCUGGGCUAGCACUGACGCUCAGGCACGAAAGCGUGGGGAGCAAACAGG